UCGUCAGCUCGUGUCGUGAGAUGUUGGGUUAAGUCCUGCAACGCGCGCAACCCUUGUCCCUAGUUGCUACGCAAGAGCACUCUAGGGAGACAAAAAAGUGACAGACCGGAGGAAGGUGGGGAUGACGUCAAGUCCUCAUGGCCCUUAUGGGUAGGGCUUCACACGUCAUACAAUGGUCGGAACAGAGGGUCGCCAACCCGCGAGGGGGAGCCAAUCCCAGAAAACCGAUCGUAGUCCGGAUCGCACUCUGCAACUCGAGUGCGUGAAGCUGGAAUCGCUAGUAAUCGCGGAUCAGCAUGCCGCGGUGAAUACGUUCCCGGGUCUUGUACACACCGCCCGUCACACCAUGGGAGUGGGUUUUACCAGAAGUGGCUAGUCUAACCGCAAGGAGGACGGUCACCCCGGUAGGAGUCAUGACUGGGGUGAAGUCGUAACAAGUAGCCGUA
rnacentral:rRNA from 1 species